UCAGUCCUCUGAAAACCUGAUGAAUGAAGUUGGGUUUAGUGAGGCUGUGAAGCCAAGGGCAAAGGAGGACUGAAACUGGAGGACCUUUCACCAUGAAGCACUGAGCCAGAGGAAUGCUCCUGCAUCAUGCUCUUUGCUGCAGGACUCUAGGAUCCCUCAUGGGACAGGUCCCAGGGCCACCCUGCUUCCAGAAACAUUGGCUAUGAUGGACAAGCCCACACGGAAAAGUCUGCCAGUAGUCAAAGCCUUUGAUAGCUUGUAAUAUCCUUAAGGGUAUAUUUAUUGUACUGAAAACAGGAAACUUUUGUUGUUGUUGUUUUGAUACUUUUACCUGAUAAUUAUACUCAGCAUUUCACCUGUAUCCUUGGGCUGGGAAAGAGCUAUGGCUGUUUAUUUUCUCAGAGCUAUUUCUGAUUCUCUCUUUAUUUCCUUCUUUCCCCUCCCCCCAGGCUGAAUUGCUGUUUCCCACUGUCCUUUUUAAAGUAACUAUCCUAGAAGCUGCAAUAUCCUUCUAUUCAGUGGUCCUUGGAGCUUGUCCUCCCUUCCUUUCCUAGUUCUAUUUUUAAAAAGAAUGUAGUAGAAAUGCACACUUUAUCAACACCUUUCUGCACAUUGUGAUACAAUUCCAGUCCUUUUCUAAUGGUUACUAAUGCUUAAUGCAGUGUUUUGGGGUUUUAACUUGGCAACUUAUUUGCAUAAGAUUGCAGUACCUGCCAAUAGAGCUCUGCUCUGAAUGGGGACAGCCGGUCAAAGCCUGGCUUUGUUUAUGUGAAAGGAUUAUUUUCUCUGUUUAGGUGAUUCUGCAUUUAUCUCCGUAGUUUUUUUCUUUUGUUUCAGUCUUGUGCAAGCCAUAAGAUGUGACUACAUCGCCCUGCAGUCAGCUUUUUUUGCUUUUACUGGAUGCAGUAGUGUUACUCAUACUUUCUGGGAGUGGGAGGGCUGGGAGGUCUAAUAGAGUUCUUAGAAGAGGUCUGACAAAGGUAACAGAGUCUCCAAAGGUAUUAAACUGUCCUAAAGGAGAUACUACCUCCUUUGGAGAGAUAACUGUACCAAAGGAGAUAUGCUAUUCCUAGCAGGACUGGAAAGUUACUAAGAAGCCCUUGGCUUGGCCAGACAGCUCCGAACCACUUCAUGCCCAGAUGCAACCUGUUGUUUCUAACACAUCCAAGGUAGACAAAAUUUUGCUUUCUGGCCCACCGUGUUUAAUAUUGAAUCCAAAAAGGCAACAGAUUCAAACUUUUCCUGAGAAUGUUUUAAGCAAGUGUCACUCCAUUUACAUGCUGCUCCCUAGAUUUUAGGACAAACUUGAAAACAACUGAAGCCCAGGUCUAUUUUAUCUCCUUUUUAUUUUCACUUUCAUACCAAAAAAAAGUCUUGACAUAGUCACAUCAAUGAGAACAAAGCUGCGAUGUGCACUUGGACAACAACGAUCAUAUAAGGAUUUAAAAUAUAUUGUUUUACUGUUUGCAAUAGCAAUGUUAGUUUGCUUUUACUUCUUAAAUAUCCCCAACACCAAAUUGCUGCGCUUGAAAUUCUUGGAAGUCCUCUGGGAUGGUGUCUGAAAAUAGGAAAAUAUGCAGAAGUUUAGUCUUUUCUGACAAAAUCAAGGAGCCAUUAAAUUAAUGAAUAAGCCACCUCUCCUCUUUUUUUUAGGUAACAUGCUUCUCUUUUGUUUACACCUUAAGAAUGAACAGGGAAUGUUUUCAGUUUUAGCUGUACACCACUGAAAAUCACAGAGAGGCUAACGAGGCAUGAGUGCUAUAGUGCCAGGCCACAACAGAGUAUUAUCAAUCUUCAGAUUACAUUUUUUUGAAAACUUUGUGCCUUGCACUCUUAAACUUUGAUAAAUAAAUGCUGACCAGAAAGGCAAAAGAAGUGGUUGUCUUGCUCUGCACACCAGACAUGUUUGCAGUGUCAGCAUUUCUAUUUCUCAUGUAUCCUAAUUCAACUUCCCUGUGAUGGUUUCCCAUGCCACAAGAAGGGACAAAAAACAUUAACCUCAGGACAAAUAGCAACUGGCAGAAAGACCUGACCUGAGACUUGGCGAAGGGAGCUGGAGAUGGAUCAAUGUCAUAAGAGUAGCUACAGUUCUGUUUGAAGUGCUGUUUGCAGUCUGCCUUUGCCAGGUCCCAGAACAUUUUAUCUGGAGAGCCACAGAGCCAACUGUAGAGCUAAGGCUGCAGCCAACAAUGAAGCCACAGGAGUGAAACUCAACUGCAUGACAUCAGCUUUAAUAUGAUUAUUUCCACCCUGAUGCAGGACAGGUAAUUCUAAACUCAAAAAAGGAUGUAACUGUAUAAACACACACAGUAUAUAGAAAAAAAAAAAGGGAUAAGUCCUUUGGUUUUUGUUGAACACUUUUUUUAAGGCUUGAAAUUAUUUUCAAGCCUUUUCUGCAAAUGUAGGAACUUGUCAGAAAUGAGAUCAGAGAUACCUGGGGACUCCAGAGACUUUCUGACUGGGUUUCAUUAACUUCUGUAGCUCCUGCAGCAAAGCCAGCUGCCUGCUUACUGCCAGGUAAGUAUGACUCAGUGGCAGCUUUGGGAAAAUGUGUAUUGUUUAAGAUGUAUAGAAGUAAUUUUUAAUUGUAAGCACUGCUGUCUAGAAGUUCCCCUGUUUAACCAUGACCUCCAAGUGCCAGCCUAGUGUACCAGAUGUCCAAGAACUAGAGUCCAUCAGCAGAACACACCACAGAGUGGCCAUGCAGCCCCCUACAGGAGCUGGACAAGGAAACUAUUUCAACUUGGCUGGUAAAUUGUUUUCUAAAGGCUGGGUAGGGAUUGAUGCUACUAUCUAGCUGAAUCUAGCUGAACUGCUUCAAUCUAGCUGAACUGCUGCCAGGGCAGAAAUACCCUGAUGUGAUCAGCUUCUGUGUGGAGUCAUCAAGGUUUGAGAUAUUUUACAUAGUGGGAGAUCAGAGCUAAGCUGCAAGGCUCUUGCACCAAAAGAAGCAAGACAGCACUCUCCCACAGAGUCAGAAGGAUUCCUCCAUGGGAGGAAAGGCAUUUUAUGAUCUUCCCCUCGCACACACAGGAGCAACCAGCAAGUACAUGAGUGACACUGAUGCCUAGUGAUUGAGCCCACUGGCCCUCCAGGUAUAUUUCACCCUUUAUUCAAAGCUCGAGGCAUCCUACAUAUGUGAUGGCCUGAGGUAUUUAUUGUGUGUGUACAGCUCUCACGGUCAGUUGUUUUUAAAUAAUGUUCCUGAUUCUCUGAUGACAGCUAUACUACUCAGUUGGCACAAUCUGCAGCUCUGGGAGGAGCAGCUCUGAGGCAUUACUUCCCAUCUAGUGGGGCUGCACUGUGCUGCUGGUGUUUCACAGGGGAGGUGUUUCACAGCUGUGAAAAACUUGUAAAUGAAAGGCAAAGGAAAGGAUCAAAAUGGCUUAAUCCAACAGCCACACUACCAGUUCUUCAUGGUCACUUGCUAGUUGUGAGCUAAAAGGAAGUAAGAGCUAUAUUACCAUUGCAGCGAUAUUUCAGGUUAGACCAAAUAAUGUUUUCCUGAGAGAAGCAGAAAACUCCAAGCCGUCCUCCACGCAUUGUGGUGUCUAUAGUUACACCAGAGUCUGCCACGAGGUCAGAGCCUUCAUAAAAUCUUGCCCUUAAUGAAAGCAAAUAGAAAGCUCUAUUAGGUCUUUUCUAAGGCUGCAACAUUCCUGAAAGUAAUGUUGUUAUCCAUGGAGACUCUAGCCUUGGACAUGUUAUCCCUCCCGUCUAGCCCAGGGGAGAAAAAGCAGUUAAGCUAGCUCCUCUGUAGGCUGGAAACUAAAGGAAUGCUGCAUGGUGGCAAGAGCCAGCCAGGGAGGGUGUGUUGGGGAGUUUCUACACAUCCUAAAAAAGCCCUGGAAUGUUUAGUCAAUCAGGCUGAGAGCUUUAGCUCUUGAAAUUUUCCACAGUCGAUAAUAAUAGGAGAAAGGGUGAACCAGACUAGAUCAGUUGAAAAAAGCCAGAUGGAUAUUGUCUCACACAGUUUGAAACUGAGGGGUUUUUGUUGUUUUUUUUUUUUUUUUAAUAGGCAAGGUUUCAAACAAACCAUUUGGAACCUUAAACUUGUCUGUGAGAUGUCUUCAGAAAUAAGAACAUCUGCAAGAUGGAGGAAGAACGAACCAGACAGUAUUCACCUACAAGAGACAUACAACUUGAAACCAAACACACACACACACAAGCAGGAAAAGGUAUACAUUCAUGUCAGGAAUGCACCUCAGUUAUUCUCCAUACAAAAAAGCUUAUUUUCAAGCCUGCAAUGACACAAAGGGGGCAGACUGCCUUGCAUACUUUGGAUUAAUGAUGAUGAAAGAUGCUGUGGGAGUCACUGUUUAUCUUGGACUGCUGAUAGGGAGAUGACAGGAAGCUGUGCCAACUCCUGGUUGGUAGGCAGAAGAAGAAAAGCUGUUGUAGUCAAACAGAUGAGGACUGCACUCUGGCACCCCAAGAGUACGCCCUUUCUUUUGUCUUUUUAGUCCCUGUGGUUUAUUACGAAGAGGAAAGCCCCAUACUCAGUCAAGCAUUGCUCAUACUGAACAGCUGAUGAAGAUCUGCCCUUACUGUACCAGCUAAGUCUUGCAAAAAGUCCAGUCCCCAAAAAACACCUAUACGGAAGUGAAGGAUGCACUAAUUUUUUGGUUUUCACUUAAAAAGCUAAAACCUGUGUUUAAAACAAAUAGCACAAUUAUUAUGGGGUUCAUGUAAGCAAAGAUUUCACCUGUUCCACAGAAGUUAUAUUUACAUUUAUUUCACAACUUAAUAGUCAAGUAUUACUGAAGCACUAUUGUACAGAGCUUGGCUGCUGCAAGGGCUGAGGUCUGAAUUCAGCGAUCCAGAGGAUUGCUGGUGACCCCUCAAAGUGUUCAGCCUGUUCCCGGUUUUCGUGCUCACCUGUGGUUUCUCCUGGAAAAUGCGCAACUCAACUGUCACCAACUUCUGAGACAGCAUUGAAAAUGGUUUUGGCAGGUCCUCAAUGGCACCUACUUGCAGGCAGUCCAGAUACAGCUCUAUCGUGCUCAAUCCCUGCUGCAGACCACUCAGCCACAAGAUGACAGCAUGGGGCUUCCCAUCAGCCAGCUGGAUGUUGCUAAAGAUCACGGAAUUCAGCCUUCCAUUACUCUUCAGAUAGCGCAGCACCACUAGGACAAAAUACAUAGAAGGACUGUCAGAGGGUAACAGACAUCCAAGGCUGAUCAAGGAAAAUCCUGUGGAAAUCCGCAAUCGCCCUGGUAUUUUACCAAAUGUCAGCUUUUGUAAAUGCAUCCCAUAUGCAGACAUAAUAAUAAUGUAAUAAUAAAUGGGACAUCAACCCAGAGCAGCACUACCAGGACUCUUGCAUGACACUCUAGUCGUAAAGCAUUGCUCCCUGCACAGUGUUUUCCAUUUCUUUGUCCUGGCCUCUCU